AUUGAACGCUGGCGGCAGGCUUAACACAUGCAAGUCGAGCGGAGAGAGGUAGCUUGCUACUGAUCUUAGCGGCGGACGGGUGAGUAAUGCUUAGGAAUCUGCCUAUUAGUGGGGGACAACAUUUCGAAAGGAAUGCUAAUACCGCAUACGUCCUACGGGAGAAAGCAGGGGAUCUUCGGACCUUGCGCUAAUAGAUGAGCCUAAGUCGGAUUAGCUAGGUGGUGGGGUAAAGGCCUACCAAGGCGACGAUCUGUAGCGGGUCUGAGAGGAUGAUCAGCCACACUGGGACGAAGACACGGCCCAGACGCCGACGGGAGGCAGAAGUGGGGAAGAUUGGACAAUGGGCGGAAGCCUGAUCCAGCCAUGCCGCGUGUGUGAAGAAGGCCUUAUGGUUGUAAAGCACUUUAAGCGAGGAGGAGGCUACUUUAGUUAAUACCUAGAGAUAGUGGACGUUACUCGCAGAAUAAGCACCGGCUAACUCUGUGCCAGCAGCCGCCGUAACAC
rnacentral:rRNA from 1 species